rnacentral:rRNA from 1 species
CGGCUAACUACGUGCCAGCAGCCGCGGUGAUACGUAGGGUGCGAGCGUUGUCCGGAUUUAUUGGGCGUAAAGGGCUCGUAGGUGGUUGAUCGCGUCGGAAGUGUAAUCUUGGGGCUUAACCCUGAGCGUGCUUUCGAUACGGGUUGACUUGAGGAAGGUAGGGGAGAAUGGAAUUCCUGGUGGAGCGGUGGAAUGCGCAGAUAUCAGGAGGAACACCAGUGGCGAAGGCGGUUCUCUGGGCCUUUCCUGACGCUGAGGAGCGAAAGCGUGGGGAGCGAACAGGCUUAGAUACCCUGGUAGUCCACGCUGUAAACGGUGGGUACUAGGUGUGGGGUCCAUUCCACGGGUUCCGUGCCGUAGCUAACGCUUUAAGUACCCCGCCUGGGGAGUACGGCCGCAAGGCUAAAACUCAAAGGAAUUGACGGGGACCUGCACAAGUAGUGGAGCAUGUGGUUUAAAUCGAUAAUACGCGCAAAACCUUACCAAUCUUUGUAUAAUACUAAGUAUUACAGGAGUUGCAUGGCUGUCGUCAGUCCGUGCCGUGAGGCG